UAACUAUGAUGUGGACAAGUAAGUAGAAGGUCUUUGAAGUGCUCCCAAGCUUGGAAAAAUAGUUCAUUCUCCUUUUGAGAGAACAAUAUGAUUUCCUGUUUAAGUGC